CCUACGGGUGGCAGCAGUGGGGAAUAUUGGGCAAUGGACGCAAGUCUGACCCAGCAACGCCGCGUGAAGGAAGAAGGCUUUCGGGUUGUAAACUUCUUUUAAGGGGGAAGAGCAGAAGACGGUACCCCUUUAAUAAGCCACGGCUAACUACGUGCCAGCAGCCGCGGUAAUACGUAGGUGGCAAGCGUUGUCCGGAAUUACUGGGUGUAAAGGGAGCGUAGACGGCUGUUCAAGUCUGGAGUGAAAGGCGGGGGCCCAACCCCCGGACUGCUCUGGAAACUGUAUGGCUGGAGUGCAGGAGAGGUAAGCGGAAUUCCUAGUGUAGCGGUGAAAUGCGUAGAUAUUAGGAGGAACACCAGUGGCGAAGGCAGCUUACUGGACUGUAACUGACAUUGAGGCUCGAAAGCGUGGGGAGCAAACAGGAUUAGAUACCCCAGUAGUC
rnacentral:rRNA from 1 species